rnacentral:miRNA from 1 species
UUGUUUGCUGGAGUAGCAUCAUCAAGAUUCACUUGCAAAAUGCACAUUAACAUAUACUCCAUUUGCUAUCUCUGCAAUCAAGGAAUGAGAAUCUUGAUGAUUCUGCAUUGGCAAUCCA